UACGUAGGUGGCAAGCGUUGUCCGGAUUUAUUGGGUUUAAAGGGUGCGUAGGCGGUUUUUUAAGUCAGUGCUGAAAUACUCCAGCUUAACUGGAGGGGUGGCAUUGAUACUGGAAGACUUGAGUACAGAUGAGGUAGGCGGAAUUGACGGUGUAGCGGUGAAAUGCAUAGAUAUCGUCAAGAACACCGGUAGCGAAGGCAGCUUACUGGGCUGUAACUGACGCUGAUGCAGAAAGUGUGGGGAUCAAAACAGG
rnacentral:rRNA from 1 species